rnacentral:tRNA from 1 species
UUCNGGGUGGAGCAGCUCGGUAGCUCGCUGGGCUCAUAACCCAGAGGUCGCAGGUUCAAAUCCUGUCCCCGCUACCA